rnacentral:rRNA from 1 species
CUUGCUCUUAUGAAGUUAGCGGCGGACGGGUGAGUAACACGUGGGUAACCUGCCCAUAAGACUGGGAUAACUCCGGGAAACCGGGGCUAAUACCGGAUAACAUUUUGAACCGCAUGGUUCGAAAUUGAAAGGCGGCUUCGGCUGUCACUUAUGGAUGGACCCGCGUCGCAUUAGCUAGUUGGUGAGGUAACGGCUCACCAAGGCAACGAUGCGUAGCCGACCUGAGAGGGUGAUCGGCCACACUGGGACUGAGACACGGCCCAGACUCCUACGGGAGGCAGCAGUAGGGAAUCUUCCGCAAUGGACGAAAGUCUGACGGAGCAACGCCGCGUGAGUGAUGAAGGCUUUCGGGUCGUAAAACUCUGUUGUUAGGGAAGAACAAGUGCUAGUUGAAUAAGCUGGCACCUUGACGGUACCUAACCAGAAAGCCACGGCUAACUACGUGCCAGCAGCCGCGGUAAUACGUAGGUGGCAAGCGUUAUCCGGAAUUAUUGGGCGUAGAGCGCGCGCAGGUGGUUUCUUAAGUCUGAUGUGAAGCCCACGGCUCAACCGUGGGAGGGUCAUUGGAAACUGGGAGACUUGAGUGCAGAAGAGGAAAGUGGAAUUCCAUGUGUAGCGGUGAAAUGCGUAGAGAUAUGGAGGAACACCAGUGGCGAAAGCGACUUUCUGGUCUGUA